rnacentral:rRNA from 1 species
CAGAACGUCGCGAGACAGUUCGGUCCUCUAUCCUCUGUGGGCGUAGGAAAAUUGAGGGGUUCACUUUCUAGUACGAGAGGACCGAAAGUGACGCACCUCUGGUGUUCCAGUUGUUCUGUCAAGAGCACGGCUGGGUAGCUAAGUGCGGAAGAGAUAAGCGCUGAAAGCAUCUAAGCGCCAAGCUCAUCCCAAGAUAAGGUUUCCUUUGAGACUCCUGGAAGACUACCAGGUUGAUAGGCCAGAGGUGUAAGCACAGCAAUGUGUUCAGCUGACUGGUACUAAUGUUCGAUUGCUUAUCUUU